UUGGUGAUAUUCUAGCAGGUCUAUGCUCAAAUCUGCAUAAAGUCACUGAGGUAAAUUGUUUACGAGUCUGCUUUUCUCUUAUCUCUGCGAUGCAAUUGGCCAGUAGUUGCAACACUGUGCUUGUGAUGGAAUGUGAACACCAAAAAGGAUUAUGGAGGCAAACUCGCAUGGUAGAUAAAACAGUCUACCAUUUAGAAUUAUUAGUUUUAGAUCUGUAGGGCAGGAUUUAUUGAGAAUGGCCACGUUUUUGCAUCAACCUUGACUGGUAUUUCUGCACACUGCCACGUUUAGAUUUGUUGCAAAGAUCUGCAGUGCAGUCAGUAUGAUAGAAAGAAAAGCCAGGAAGAUCCACUGUUGCAUCUAGAAUUGAGUUGCUGAGCAAAGUUUCUCUGAAGCAGAAGAAAGGGAAAAGUCCAUAUUCUUCUGUAUUAAGAACUGCAACUGUUUGAUUUUACUUGUGAGGGAAUAAACAUUGGAGAGGAAUGAUCUAUGUAGCAGAGAUUAUAACCCUUGUUUCCUGAAGCAGUCAAGACCUCCUGUUCCAUCUCACCUCUUUCUUUGGCUAUGAAGACUGCUGAUGACAGUAAAGUCAAUAUACUACCAGAAGAUGAUUCUAUUUUUGCCCACUGACUAUGUUGUAGCUUGUGUUUAAUCUUUAGAAGAGCAUCCUUGUCAUAAUAUGCAAGUAAACAGAAAAAGACACUAUGUAUAAAAUAAAACCGACAAAUCGGGACACAUCCAAGUACCCCAACUGCCGUCUUAUUGAUGCUGGAAGCAGCGGGAAAAAAGUACAAUAGUACAAAGUACUAUUACAAAUGACAAACAUUUUGAAUCCCGUUGAAUCCUUGAAAAAGGUUUGUAUGUAACAUUUUGCUGUAGUGUUUUUAAUUAUAUUGUAUCUUUAUGUUUUCUAGUUUUGAUGAAACUCAGGGAAAUUUUUUAGAUGUGUCAAAAGCAUUGUCCACUGCUACAAAACAAAUCUGAAUGAGUCAAUGAAUUGCAUUAUAAGUCAUAUAAAAAUACAGACAUUGUUUUUUUCAUGCAGGUUUCCUCAAAUUGAACUUUUUAAAUUUGUAGAAAUGUGUAUGUAAGAAUGAAAAUAUCUUUUUAAUUUUUUUUUUGUGUUUUGAUCUUAAUUCUUUUCUCCCAGAAACGAGCAAUAAAGGCUGAAAAUAAUGUUUCAAAGCUUACACAGGAGCUCCUCCAGUUACAGGGUCAACUAGAAGGAUUCCGAUGUGAAAAUGAGAGGCUUCAAGCCAAAGAGACUGUUGCCUUGAAAACUAUAAAGCAAAAAUCCAUGUUAGCAUCAGAGUAUCUCAACAAAGCUGCCAGCAAUGCAGAAAAUUCCAUCAAGCAGUUGCUGAAUGGAGCCGAUACUCUUUAUUUGGUCUCACAGAUGCUGGGCUCAAUUGACAAGAUUACUGAUUUCCAUGCUGACGACCACUAAUGGUAACGAACAGCUAUUGAAUGAGGGCUGUUUUGUUGUUGUAGCUAAAAAUAUAAAAAUAAAUAUUAUUAUAAUAAUA